rnacentral:rRNA from 1 species
UACGUAGGGGGCUAGCGUUGUCCGGAUUUAUUGGGCGUAAAGGGCUCGUAGGCGGUUUGUCGCGUCGGGAGUGAAAACCCAGGGCUUAACUCUGGGCUUGCUUUCGAUACGGGCAGACAAGAGGUAUGCAGGGGAGAACGGAAUUCCUGGUGUAGCGGUGAAAUGCGCAGAUAUCAGGAGGAACACCGGUGGCGAAGGCGGUUCUCUGGGCAUUACCUGACGCUGAGGAGCGAAAGUGUGGGGAGCGAACAGG